UAGGUGACAAGCGUUGUCCGGAUUUACUGGGUGUAAAGGGCGCGUAGGCGGACUGUCAAGUCAGUCGUGAAAUACCGGGGCUUAACCCCGGGGCUGCGAUUGAAACUGACAGCCUUGAGUAUCGGAGAGGAAAGCGGAAUUCCUAGUGUAGCGGUGAAAUGCGUAGAUAUUAGGAGGAACACCAGUGGCGAAGGCGGCUUACUGGACUGUAACUGACGUUGAGGCUCGAAAGCGUGGGGAGCAA
rnacentral:rRNA from 1 species